GGAUGAAUAUAGACUACUGGAGGUGAAAAGGGAUGAGUAUAGACUACUGGAGGUGAAAAGGGAUGAGUAUAGGCUACUGGAGGUGAAAAGGGAUGAGUAUAGGCUACUGGAGGUGAAAAGGGAUGAAUAUAGGCUACUGGAGGUGAAAAGGGAUGAGCAUAGGCUACUGGAGGUGAAAAGGGAUGAAUAUAGGCUACUGGAGCCAAAAAGGGA